rnacentral:tRNA from 1 species
GCAAAUAUAGUUUAACAAAAACAUUAGAUUGUGAAUCUAAUAUUAGGAGCUUAAAACCUCCUUAUAUGCC